GCGCAAUGGGGGAACCUGACGCAGCAACGCCGCGUGGAGGAUGACACUUUUCGGAGCGUAAACUCCUUUUGUUAGGGAAGAAUAAUGACGGUACCUAACGAAUAAGCACCGGCUAACUCCGUGCCAGCAGCCGCGGUAAUACGGAGGGUGCAAGCGUUACUCGGAAUCACUGGGCGUAAAGGACGCGUAGGCGGAUUAUCAAGUCUCUUGUGAAAUCUAACGGCUCAACCGUUAAACUGCUUGGGAAACUGAUAAUCUAGAGUAAGGGAGAGGCAGAUGGAAUUCUUGGUGUAGGGGUAAAAUCCGUAGAUAUCAAGAAGAAUACCUAUUGCGAAGGCGAUCUGCUGGAACUUAACUGACGCUAAUGCGUGAAAGCGUGGGGAGCAAACAGGAUUAGAUACCCUGGUAGUCCACGCCCUAAACGAUGUAUACCGGUUGUUGCUGUGCUAGUCACGGCAGUAAUCCACCUAACGGAUUAAGUAUACCGCCUGGGGAGUACGGUCGCAAGAUUAAAACUCAAAGGAAUAGACGGGGACCCGCACAAGCGGUGGAGCAUGUGGUUUAAUUCGAAGAUACGCGAAGAACCUUACCCGGACUUGAUAUCUAACAAAUCAUCCAGAGAUGGAAGAGUGUCUGCUUGCAGAAAUGUUAAGACAGGUGCUGCACGGCUGUCGUCAGCUCGUGUCGUGAGAUGUUGGGUUAAGUCCCGCAACGAGCGCAACCCACGUCAUUAGUUGCUAACGGUUCGGCCGAGCACUCUAAUGAGACUGCCUUCGUAAGGAGGAGGAAGGUGUGGACGACGUCAAGUCAUCAUGGCCCUUAUGUCCGGGGCGACACACGUGCUACAAUGGCAUAUACAAUAAGACGCAAUAUCGCGAGAUGGAGCAAAUCUAAAAAAUAUGUCCCAGUUCGGAUUGGAGUCUGCAACUCGACUCCAUGAAGCCGGAAUCGCUAGUAAUCGUAGAUCAGCCAUGCUACGGUGAAUACGUUCCCGGGUCUUGUACUCACCGCCCGUCACACCAUGGGAGUUGAUUUCACUCGAAGCGGGAAUGCGAAAUUCGCUACCCUCCACAGUGGAAUCAGCGACUGGGGUGAAGUCGUAACAAGG
rnacentral:rRNA from 1 species